GCCAACAGCGAGAUUCCAUUUAAAAAAAUAAAAAAAAACAACUCGGGCAGUCGUUCAUCGACCAUUGCCCGGUGCACACGUUACGUAAUUACCGAGUAGCCUUCGAAAUAUUUACCUAUUGAAUUUGUUUAUUGAAAUCUUAUUGAAUUAAGAGACUGAACUUUGUGUUUGUUAUCUUAACAAUGUCGGGGCCUGACGCUACAUAUAUGUUAGAUUUAACAUGUACUAUGUAAAACAACUGAAUCCUUCAGAAUCAAUUCAUUACGUAUUUCAAAAGACACAACAAAAUUAAAGCAAUGUAAAAAAAACAAAUGCAUAAAUAAUCACAGAAGAUUAUAUACAAGAGAUUCUAUGUAAUCUACUUGAUGAUUUAUUAAGGUCAGUAUUUAUCCAAAUAAUUAAUUAAAAACUGAAAUAACUAACACCAUAAAUAAGUAAUUAUGUAUUUAUAUUCAGAUACAAUAUAACUAAAAAUAUUCUACUUUAUUUAAUACCAAUAAGAUUUCGCGGGAACCCGAUCUUCCUUAAUACCCAUACUUUCCAUUACAUCCAUUUCAAAAGUUUGAAGUUUUGGUGAAAAUGUAAUCUGGAACAAAAAAAAAAAAAAAUUUGCUUCAGAAACUA